CCUACGGGUGACAGCAGUGAGGAAUAUUGGUCAAUGGCCGGAAGGCUGAACCAGCCAUGCCGCGUGAAGGUCAGUGCCCUAUGGGCGUUAAACUUCUUUUGUGCGGGAGCAAUAAUGGUCACGUGUGGCCAGACGAGAGUACCGUACGAAUAAGCAUCGGCUAACUCCGUGCCAGCAGCCGCGGUAAUACGGGGGAUGCAAGCGUUAUCCGGAUUUAUUGGGUUUAAAGGGUGCGUAGGCUGGGAGGUAAGUCAGCGGUGAAAUGCCCCCGCUCAACGGGGUGAAGUGCCAUUGAUACUGCCUGGCUGGAAUGCGGAUGCGGUGGGAGGAAUGUGUGGUGUAGCGGUGAAAUGCAUAGAUAUCACACAGAACACCGAUUGCGAAGGCAUCUCACGAAUCCGCGAUUGACGCUGAUGCACGAAAGCGUGGGUAUCAAACAGGAUUAGAUACCCUAGUAGUC
rnacentral:rRNA from 1 species